UACGGGGGGAGCAAGCGUUGUUCGGAUUUACUGGGCGUAAAGGGCGCGUAGGCGGUCACCGCAAGUCGAUUGUGAAAUCUCCGGGCUUAACCCGGAAAGGUCAACCGAUACUGCGGGGCUAGAGUGCAGAAGGGGCAACUGGAAUUCUCGGUGUAGCGGUGAAAUGCGUAGAUAUCGAGAGGAACACCUGCGGCGAAGGCAGGUUGCUGGGCUAACACUGACGCUGAUACGCGAAAGCAAGGGGAGCGAACGGG
rnacentral:rRNA from 1 species